UGUGAGUAGUAAGAGAAGUUCAUAGCUUUGUUUUCCCUUUGGAGCUUUAUACUGUUCUUAUUUACCACAUGCUAGUAUUUGGUAAAAUUUUUAGUAAACUACAGAGAAUGCUUUGGGCAAUUUAGUAGAUUUUUUAAUAAAAAAUGGAUCCUAAGGAUCCACAGAUCCGGGUUUGGUUUGGGUUUUUUUGAGGAUUCAGAUCCGUCAAUUUAUACGAAUCCAAAACCGAACCGGAUCCAACAGAUCCAAAAGUUUAGGAUUUAGACAUGUCAAAACAAAUCCGGGCUGGGUCCAGGAUCCAUCGCCAUUCCUAUAAUAAUAUCGUUGGCCGACAAUCUCCAUUGCCAAUACCAGUGCCGUGGCCAUCCACCAUUAUCGUUGGCGCCUAUACUCUAUCUUCACUUCUCAUCACCACCAGUACCACCCAACAACUGCAUUAUAGCUUGACCAAAGAUUUUAGUUCCGAGUUUAGAAAUUGAAUGGGCAAUAAUAAGAUUUGAUGGUGUAAACUCAUAGAAAUUAUAUUAUCUGGAAAGAAAUAAUUUGUUAUGUUUCUCUCUUUAUCCCUAUGGUGGUGGAGGUGGAAGGCAGAGGGUGGCAGUGCCGCGAAUGUCGAGGCAAUGGAAGCCCUUACCUUUUUGGGAGAACAGUUGUAUGUGUUGCAAUAUCCAAUGCGGCCGUUGUGGCGUCCUUACGAAAACAUCGAUGCACUGAGGUGAGAUAUAAACCGAAAGCCAGUGAGGUGGAGGUGGAUUUGUCCAUUGAUAUGAAUUCUGAUAAUUUUAAUUCGAAUGCAAAUGAACACUUCAAGAUAACCAAGCAGACUUUGUCAUCUUCAGGCUGGCUUCCUCAAACUACGCAAUAUACUGUUGGGGUGGUGCUUGGUAAGAAGAUGUAUGUGAAUCCCAUCCAUGAAGCUGUGCAGCUUUGUCCAUCAAUGGAAUACAUAGAUUCUGCUGGAUCAAAGAAGAGAAAUUCAAAUGGUGCUGUAAAAGAAGGAUCUAGUAAUGGUGCCAUACGUCUGAGGCAGCAGAGUAAGAAAAUGGAUCUAGAAGUUGAGGAGCCAUGGGUUGCUCUUAAGUAUCAUAGCUCAACGACUAAACUUGCAGCAAGAUUUUUGAAGAAGAUGAUGACUGAACAUAAAGUUUCAUUACAAUUUUCAAUGAAUUUGUACAUCUUUCACCAGCUUGCAAACACUUUACCAGGGUCUAAAGAACAUGGAUGUUUCUAUGCCUUCCCUCCCAAAAGCUGAUGCUGGAGCUAUUACUGCUGUUGUGGCUGCUGAUGCCCCAUCGAAGAGCUUCACGCUGUGACAUUGCAGUUAAUGUUAAUGGUUUCUAUGUGUUGAAGUCGUCCAUAGAGCAUCCAGAAUUUGACCUAUUGAGAAGAGUAAUUAUUGACCUUUUGAUUGGAAGAGGCCUCAACGUAAAGCUUAAGAAAGGUGAAAUUAUUGAAGCUGCCAAGAUUAGACUUAAAAGGGAGCCUACUAAUAGUGAAUUUCAAAAGGUUAUCGCUGAGUUUUGUGUAUCGAAGGGAGGUGCUUGGGUGCUUAAAACUGGCGAUGGAGUACCAAAUUAAUCUCGCAGAAGUAUCUUCCGAGCAGCAUACUUCUCAGUUACAGAGACACCAGAUUUGUCGUUGCUGCGAAAUCGUCUGAUGUUGAAGGAACCCAGACCAUGUAGAUAGGAAGCACAGUAGUACAGUAUAUAUACGCAGUCGUAAGUAGUCAUAUAGUAUUUGUCCGGUAUGAUUUUAGGCGUACUUGUUUGACAUCAAUGUAGAACAGUUUGAGGGAUUUCAUAGCAUAUGUGCGGUGUAAAUUUGAUUAUCAUUAAAUUUUCUUUUCAAGUUUUCACCUAGUUUUUUGUAAUAUUUUUAUUCUCAAAUUGUAUGAAGUGGACAAAAAAUACUCUAUAUAUGAAUUAAAUGGUCUAACUUUUACAAAUUAUGAGUG